rnacentral:rRNA from 1 species
UACGUAGGGUGCAAGCGUUAAUCGGAAUUACUGGGCGUAAAGCGUGCGCAGGCGGUCUUUUAAGUCAGAUGUGAAAUCCCCGGGCUUAACCUGGGAACUGCGUUUGAAACUGGAAGGCUAGAGUGUGGCAGAGGGGGGUGGAAUUCCACGUGUAGCAGUGAAAUGCGUAGAGAUCCGGAAGAAUACCGGUGGCGAAGGCGGCCUGCUGGGCAGUGGCUGACACUGAGGCGCGACAGCGUGGGGAGCAAACAGG